CACCCCUCUCUCCCCUCUCCCCGAUGGCCUCUCCCUCUUUUUAUAGGCCCUUGGAAAUGUGGUGGAGGCGAGAUCAGCGGGAUCGGCGGAAUGCUUGAUGCGGAAGGUGGGGACGCGGAUCCGGGCGCUGGGAGGAGCCGAUCACGGAAGAGCUGGCACGGACGUUUGGAUGCGGAGGAAUCCGGACGGGAUGAUGGCGGGAUCCGAGGUUUGGAUGCGAUCUGUGAGGUGGCUCCUUGAUGGCUGCUGAUUUGGGAGGCUCGGG
rnacentral:lncRNA from 1 species